CUACUCUGCGACCCCAGGCAGUUGGAGGCACCUGUGCUCUGGAUUUGCUCACAGUGCCCAAACUAUUCCACUCUCCCCAGUACCCCAGUGUAUAAAGUGUAGGUGCUCACAAAGCGACAGGUCACAGAAACCUUCAGUCUGCUCCAAGCCCGCAGGAACACUCACCUGAAGCCAUCCAUAGCCAUCUCAGCGCCAGCUCUGAGUUGGGACACGUCACCCCAAGUAUCAGCACCAGGCAAGAGGACCUAGAGACCCUGCGAGCCUUGGAAAGGGCUGAUAUCAUAGCCGAAUACCAUCAGCUGAGGCCCAGACAAGUACCAUAGAUGCUAGAGAACCCACUAGAGGUGGGGACCCUUCCUGCAAGGGCAGGUGAAUCCCAGGAAUGGAUCAGAGGCAAGCAUGACAGGUCAGCCCAGAGAAGGACCACAGUCACCAGGAACAAAUGAGAUGCUGGGGAUGGACCCAGGCAUCAGGAGCAAGUGAGGGUCCAUCUUGGAUCUUAGACACCAGUAGCCGAUGAACCCAGGUGGGGAUCACAGUCACCAGGUCCCCAUGAGGCACAGGUGGUUGUAUACUUAGGUAUGUGGCAGCAGGUAUGGCCCAAAUGGUAUCAUAAGCAGUAACAGCAAUUAUGUACUGCGUGAGGAUCAUAGCAGAGUCCAGCCAAUGAGAACUAAGGGGUGUUGUUGCCAGUAGGAGCAGGUAAGGCCAGGUGGGGAUCAUAGUCCUCAGGUGCUCCAGAUGUCCAGAUGUAUAGCCAGCCAAUAGAGAUGAGACCCAAUCAGGGAUCUGAAUCUAAGCUGAGAAGCGAGGGCCCAGGCAGAGAUGAAAAUCAGAGGAGCAGAGCCUGAUGGCUGGGGGCAUCAGGUCUGGGGACAGCUGGCCAGGAGCAUCAGAACCAGGUGAGGCCCAGGAGAGGAUCAGAGCCAAGGAUGAGCCUGGUCAGCCCAGACAAGGACCAUAGUCACUAGGAACAUUUGAGGCCCUGGGGACUGACCAGGGCAUCAGUAGAAGUGAGGGUCCAUCUUGGCUCCUGGUGAUUGGUAGCCAAUGAGCCCAGGUGUGGACCAUGGUCACCAGGUCCAGGUGAUGCUCAUGUGGGGACCGGUCACCAGAUCAGGUCAGGCCCAGGUGGGGAUCAUCUCUGGUAAAGCAGAUAAGGCUGUCAGGCUGCUUCCAUUGGGCAAACAGUCCCUUCUUCUCAUGCCCAGCGAAUCUGAGAGG